CGUCACCACUCACCACCACCUCUCGUCCCUCCCACGCGCCGCCCCUUCCUCCCGCACGCCGCCGCGCCAUCCUCCAACCCCAGCGCGCCGCCGCGCCGCCCCUCCCACCCCAGCGCGCCACCGCGCUGCCACCCCCAUCCCAAGGCGCCGCCGCGUCCACAUCUCCGAAACUCGCGCACUUUUACCGCCGGGCCACGAACUGGGCACCUCCCUCUUCACCGCGCCGGCGGUCGCCUUCCCCAAUGCGCGCCGGCAGCCUGCCUUCCCCGCGCCGGCGGACUCCCUCCCAACGCGUGCCGACAGCCUUCCUUCCCCGCGCCGGCGGCCUCCCUCCCAUCGCGUGCCAACGGCCACCCUUCCCAGCGCCGGCGGCGUCCCUCCCAAAGCACGCCGGCACCUCCGUUCCCCGUGCCGGCGGGGGGCAGCUUCCCUCCGAACGCGUGGCGCAUUUUCCUCCAAUGGAUGUGCACAACUCGUGGCGCUACCUCCUGGUCAGCUGGUUCCCGUCGGCCUCCUCGCCGCAACCGGACAAAUCCUCCAGCGGGACCUCGGACGGCCCGACGCACUCCCUCGAACUGUCGCGCGUCCUCCCUCGAACGGCCGGACUCGUUUACCUCCUCCAAUAUGCGCAGGUUGCUGCUCUCGUCUGCUUCCUCUUUCUUUUUUGAAAUGAGUCUGCUUUCUCUCUCACGAGCGUGAUGCUACUGCUCCUCUCAACUCUCAAUUCUCAUUAUUUGCUGCUGCUCCCCUAUAUGAACUGCUGAUGCUACUUCAUCUCUACUUGUUGUGAAAUAAGGUUUUGAUUUCAGAGAAGUCGCAGAACACAAAGGAAAGAAGAGCCAUGUUUUCUAUUGUUGUUAUUUUGUUGCCCUCAUGGUGUUUACUGAAAUGCCUACAACAACUUAAGGUGUUCUCGUCAGGUCGCGGCCUCUUCCGCCGUCAGGUCACAGCCUCUUCCGCCGUCAGAUCGCAGCCUCUUCCUUCUGCACGUCGCCACCUCCUGCUGCUGCAGGCCGUGCCCCAUCCCCUAUUCUCGCGUGGUCGCCAACGAGGAGGUGACCAAUUGUUGAUCCUGAAGUUUCAUCACAUGAUUUUUUGUCUCUGAAUUUUGCACCAAUUCUUGAUCCUGAAGCAUCAAUGCUUGAGCACUGAUUUUUGUGUGUUAGUUCAAAUUUUGCGUCAAGCAGUUCGACAAGGGCGCGUCCCUUAGUACUACGAUGACGAGGCAGACAGCCGCCCUCUUUGUGACCUGCUGCUAUUCCCCAUCUUGCACUGGCGGACUGAUGAUGCGGGAGCUGCCCUCUUCGCUACAACCCCACGUGGAUCUCUCUCUUUCUCCUCUCUUAAAUUCGUUGAAAAAUUUUUGUUCCAGAGCUGUUCAAAGUUCAGACUUACGUUUUGUGAAGGCAAGGACAAGGAGAAGCCUAUGGAUAACAGUUCGUGUGGAGCUUGGCCAGUUCCUCUGUUCAUGUGUGAGCUUGCUCAGUUCGUCCAUUUAUCUCUGUUCAGUUCAUGUAGAGGAUCCCUCGAAUUCACCUCCUCUCGUUCUUUAUCAACAAAUGAUUUUCACUAUCCGCAGCAAAUUACAGUAUGAGAGUGGGAGUUUUAUAUUGUACUCUCUGCCUGCACAAUGCAUUUUGUAGUGUUGGUAGUUGUAGAGAUUUGUUUGUGUUAAAAAAUGGUUUUAUGUAUUUUGUAGUGUCGGUACUUAAGUAGAACAUUAGUUCAAAUCUUCAAAUUUUAUAUAGUUCAAGUACAUAAGGAACAUAAGGAACUUUAGUUAGUUUCUUGAAUUUCGACUCCUUCAGUUUUUGUUCUUAACCAGUUUUUGUUCAAGUAUAUUAGGACUGACGCCAUUAGUUUCAAAAAGGAGCUUCAGUAGAUGUGGAGAUUGGUAAAAUCUAAAGUUCAACUAUUCUGAUGGGGCACUUCAUAAAGCAAAGAAAAAAGAAAGCAGAGCAAAAGUGAAGAAAAAGAAAAAGAAAACCAAAGUGGUCCUGAGAAGAAAAUGCCUACUGUCCAGUAAUACAUUCUCUCGUUAGUCUAUGUUUAUUUGUCGUGAGAAUAAAAAAACAGUGGUACAAUACAUAUUACGUGAGCUGUUCAUAUAAAAAAAUGCCUCGGUUUGUGUAACAUCAGUUCUAACUUUUAUAGCUUGAUAAAUGAUUAGAAGUCAAUCUGAAUUCAUUUUGAUCCAUUCUCUUGUAUUUUAGGCUGAACUCCAAUACUUGCAUCCGCCACCCCAACGCCGGCGUGCUCCCUCAGUCCUCUCUCGACAAAUCCAACAGUACAGGUUCUCCGGUGCGCCAAGUAUUGCCUGCGGCGAUGCCUACAUCAUGGCCCAUUGAGGAGAUCUUGUGUAUUCGACAUAGAAGAAAUAUUGUCAGUUCAUGAAUAGAGAAUUUCUGUACCAGACUUAAUAUUAGUUCAGUGCGUAUUCUAUCUUCAGUCCAAGAAAAAUCACAGAAUAGUUGGUGCGUGUGCACAAAUAUCGUCAGUGCAAGUUUCAAAAUUCUGUAACUUUAGAUAUAUCACCUGAAAAAGUAAUGAUUUGCAGCGAGUUUCUUCAAAAUUCUGUAAAGUUUAGUAUUAUAGUGUGUGUUUUGAACUAAGAGAUAUACUCUAUGAUUUUCUGUACUUGAAGCAUUUUGUUCUCAUAUAUUAAAUCAAGUGCAUAUAUGAAAUCUUGAACAAAAUGCUCUAUGGACUCUUGGACUGUAUUGUUGGAGAACUGUUGUUCGGUACCUAAUGGAAUUUGCACAUGAAGCAUUUUGUUCUCAGUUUUUGGGUGAAAAGUUUGCUUCCUAUAUUGCAUAGCUGCUGCAGUGACCAUAGGAAUUUAUUAGAAUAAUUUAAUGUUUUUGUAGCUCACCUCUAAUUUGUUUCUUUCUACUGCUCUUUCCUCUUAACAAUUUUGUUUCUCUCUAUACUGCAGCACGAGGGAGGUUUGGACGGACGCUGAUCACUAGCCCACUAUGACGACGCUGAUCACUAGCACGAAGGACACCAGCAGGUUGAGGAUGAAGUACAUGACGUAGGCAAUGAGGAUGACCAAAACAUGGAAUCGGUACACAAAGCAGCAACUGCAAGUUUAAAUUUUCUGUCUAUGGUGAUUUGAUUGCUACUUCUUAAAGAAAAGUGUAAUGACAGUUAGAUGUUUGUGCAAGAAAGGAAAAAUUGUUUGAACUAAAAACAUUCGAUAGUGCUCUCUCUCCUGACUA